AGCGAACGCUGGCGGCAGGCCUAACACAUGCAAGUCGAACGAAGUCUUCGGACUUAGUGGCGGACGGGUGAGUAACACGUGGGAACGUACCUUUGGUUCGGAACAACUCAGGGAAACUUGAGCUAAUACCGGAUGAGCCCUUAGGGGGAAAGAUUUAUCGCCGAAAGAGCGGCCCGCGUUAGAUUAGCUAGUUGGUGAGGUAAAGGCUCACCAAGGCUACGAUCUAUAGCUGGUCUGAGAGGAUGAUCAGCCACACUGGGACUGAGACACGGCCCAGACUCCUACGGGAGGCAGCAGUGGGGAACCUUGCGCAAUGGGCGAAAGCCUGACGCAGCCAUGCCGCGUGAAUGAUGAAGGUCUUAGGAUUGUAAAAUUCUUUUACCAGGGACGAUAAUGACGGUACCUGGAGAAAAAGCCCCGGCUAACUUCGUGCCAGCAGCCGCGGUAAUAC
rnacentral:rRNA from 1 species